CCCCGAUCGAUGCAAUAUCAUUAGGGCGAGAGGCAUUGGGGCAGCGCUCGGGGGGCCCGAACCGCUGCCGGUACCGGGGGGGUCCCGUAAGGCGUCGCUCCGUCCCCACCGACCCGACCCGGCAGCGCUCCGAAGCCGCGGGGGUGGGCGCGGGGUUCGGUGCCCCAUCUCGGAGCCGGUUCCUCUCCCCUUCUUCCCAUCCAUUCGACAGCUGGAUGCUAUUGAUCCUUUCCCUCUCCUCCUUUUUUCCUUUUUUUUUUUCCCUUCCCGAGCUCCCUCUCCUCUCCCUUUAAUUCCCUCCGUUCCUCCGGAGGAGCCGCCCGGUGCCGGGGGAAGAACCCGAAAGGCAAAACGACGCGGCCCCAAAUAAGAGGCGGAGGAGCACCUGCGGGUGAGAUUUAUGGCAUCCAGCGAACAGGUACAGCGCAGGGGAUUUUUUGUGCCACGGGUUUUGCUGCGCCACGCACGGGCGGGAGCCGCGCAGCCCCGCACCGCCCCGCACGCACUUCCCCUAUAGGCGAUCAACUUCCUUAAAGUUCUUGAAGGCUUCCAAACAACAGCCCCAUCGCCUGGCAGGUGAAUUACUCAGUGCCUAUGGAUUCCUCGCGAGCCCUUUCAUUCCGGUCCCAAAUCUUUCCCAGCCCACCCUUUGCCUAUGGAUGUCUCGAUUUUACAACAAUCAAGCGGGAGGCGAAGAGCGUGGCAAUUUCUGCUAAUCGAUUUUCCAUACAAUGGGCCCCAGAUGAUGUUUUAAAAUGUGAGAAACUCAAAUGUGUUGGUUUAAAUAAGACUUUUGCAAUCGAUAGCCUUUAAAAAAAAGGAGACUUUGAUACCGCAUCUGGAAGGGGAUUUCGAACGCUUUCGCUUCCCGAACAAAACAAGGCAGGAAAAUCCUAAAUAAUAAUCAUAAUAGCAAUAAAGAAACCAGAAGUUCC